rnacentral:rRNA from 1 species
AGAGAGAGACAUGCGCGCAUAUCAAUAAGCGGAGGAAAAGAAACUAACAAGGAUUCCCUUAGUAACGGCGAGUGAAGCGGGAAGAGCUCAAAUUUGAAAUCUUCAAGGUUUUACCUUGACGAAUUGUAGUUUAAAGAAGUGUUUUCUGCUGAAGUUUUGGUAAAAGUUCUUUGGAAUAGGACAUCAUAGAGGGUGAGAAUCCCGUAUUUGACCAUUAUUUUCAGCUUUGUGACUACACUUUCAAAGAGUCGGAUUGUUUGGGAAUGCAGUCCAAAAUGGGUGGUAAAUUUCAUCUAAAGCUAAAUAUUGGCGAGAGACCGAUAGCGAACAAGUACCGUGAGGGAAAGAUGAAAAGAACUUUGAAAAGAGAGUUAAACAGUACGUGAAAUUGUCAAAAGGGAAGCGUUUGACACCAGUGUUGUUUUCUCGAAAAUCAAUUAAAAAUGGCUCGAUUUUGUAUUGUUGAGACCUUAAAAGCUCACUGUACAUUUUUCGUGUCUUUUUUAAUGCACUUUUCGUUUAACAAGUCAACAUCAGUUUCUUUUGUUGUAAAAGGGUCAUUGGAAGGUGGCUUUCUUUUCGGAGAAAGUGUUUAUAGCCUUUGGCCUCUGCAAUCGGAGAGACUGAGGUCUGCAGCGUAGACUCUUCGGGGUUAGAUACAUUUGUGCUAAGUUAUAGCUUUUUAUAGACAACUUGUUGACUAUAAUUAGUCUUGUAGCUUACUCGCUUAUGCUAUUUUACCUACGCUUAGGAUGUUGAAGAUGUAGCACAUCAU